rnacentral:tRNA from 1 species
GCGGUCCCUUCGUCUAUCGGUUAGGACGCCAGGUUUUCAACCUGGAAAGAGGGGUUCGAUUCCCCUAGGGACUGCCAG